UGGGGAAUUUUGGACAAUGGGCGAAAGCCUGAUCCAGCAAUGCCGCGUGCAGGAUGAAGGCCUUCGGGUUGUAAGCUGCUUUUGUACGGAACGAAAAAGCUUCUCCUAAUACGAGAGGCCCAUGACGGUACCGUAAGAAUAAGCACCGGCCAACUUCGUGCCAGCAGCCGCGGUAAUACGUAGGGUGCGAGCGUUAACCGGAAUUACUGGGCGUAAAGCGUGCGCAGGCGGUUAUGUAAGACAGAUGUGAAAUCCCCGGGCUCAACCUGGGAACUGCAUUUGUGACUGCAUGGCUAGAGUACGGUAGAGGGGGAUGGAAUUCCGCGUGUAGCAGUGAAAUGCGUAGAUAUGCGGAGGAACACCGAUGGCGAAGGCAAUCCCCUGGACCUGUACUGACGCUCAUGCACGAAAGCGUGGGGAGCAAA
rnacentral:rRNA from 1 species